rnacentral:rRNA from 1 species
GAUGAACGCUGGCGGCGUGCCUAAUACAUGCAAGUCGAGCGAACAGACGAGGAGCUUGCUCCUCUGACGUUAGCGGCGGACGGGUGAGUAACACGUGUAUCACCUACCUAUAAGACUGGGAUAACUUCGGGAAACCGGAGCUAAUACCGGAUAAUAUAUUGAACCGCAUGGUUCAAUAGUGAAAGACGGUUGUGCUGUCACUUCUAGCUGGUUCCGCGCCGCAUUAGCUAGUUGGUAAGGUAACGGGUUACCAAGGCAACGAUGCGUAGCCGACCGGAGGGGGUGGUCGGCCGCCCUGGAACUGUGACCCGGUCCAUAGUCCUACGGGAGGCAGCAGUAGGGAAUCGGCCGCAAUGGGCGGAAGCCUGACGGAGCAACGCCGCGUGAGUGAGGAAGGUCUUCGGAUCGUAAAACUCUGCUAUUAGGGAAGAACCAAUGUGUAAGGAGCUAUGCCGGGCGUGACGGUAACGAAUAAGGAAGCCACGGCUAACUACGUG